rnacentral:rRNA from 1 species
AUUGAACGCUGGCGGUAUGCUUAACACAUGCAAGUCGAACGAUGAGAAAGAGCUUGCUCUUUCGAUUAGUGGCGGACGGGCGCGUAACGCGUAGGAAUCUACCUAUUAGUGGGGGACAACUUAGGGAAACUUAAGCUAAUACCGCAUACGCCCUACGGGGGAAAGAAGGGGAUCGCAAGACCUUUUGCUAAUAGAUGAGCCUGCGUAGGAUUAGCUAGUUGGUGGGGUAAAAGCUCACCAAGGCGACGAUCCUUAACUGGUUUGAGAGAAUGAUCAGUCACACUGGAACUGAGACACGGUCCAGACUCCUACGGGAGGCAGCAGUGGGGAAUAUUGGACAAUGGGCGAAAGCCUGAUCCAGCAAUACCGCGUGUGUGAAGAAGGCCUUAGGGUUGUAAAGCACUUUCAAUUGGAAGGAAAACCUCGAAGCUAAUACCUUCGAGUUUGACAUUACCUUUAGAAGAAGCACAGGCUAACUCCGUGCCAGCCGCCGCCGUAAGAC